AGCUCAAAUUUGAAAUCUGGCCCUCGGGUCCGAAUUGUAAUUUAAAGAAGCGUUUUCGGUGGCAGCCUGGGUAUAAAUCCUUUGGAAUAGGGUAUCAUAGAGGGUGAGAAUCCCGUCUUUGACCUAGUGCAUGCUACUAUGUGAUACGUUUUCAAA
rnacentral:rRNA from 1 species